rnacentral:rRNA from 1 species
UGGGGAAUAUUGCACAAUGGGCGCAAGCCUGAUGCAGCCAUGCCGCGUGUAUGAAGAAGGCCUUCGGGUUGUAAAGUACUUUCAGCGGGGAGGAAGGGAGUAAAGUUAAUACCUUUGCUCAUUGACGUUACCCGCAGAAGAAGCACCGGCUAACUCCGUGCCAGCAGCCGCGGUAAUACGGAGGGUGCAAGCGUUAAUCGGAAUUACUGGGCGUAAAGCGCACGCAGGCGGUUUGUUAAGUCAGAUGUGAAAUCCCCGGGCUCAACCUGGGAACUGCAUCUGAUACUGGCAAGCUUGAGUCUCGUAGAGGGGGGUAGAAUUCCAGGUGUAGCGGUGAAAUGCGUUAGAGAUCUGGAGGAAUACCGGUGGCGAAGGCGGCCCCCUGGACGAAGACUGACGCUCAGGUGCGAAAGCGUGGGAGCAAACA